rnacentral:rRNA from 1 species
AUUGAACGCUGGCGGCAUGCUUUACACAUGCAAGUCGAACGGCAGCGCGGGCUUCGGCCUGGCGGCGAGUGGCGAACGGGUGAGUAAUACAUCGGAACGUGCCCAGUAGUGGGGGAUAGCUCGGCGAAAUCCGGAUUAAUACCGCAUACGACCUGAGGGUGAAAGCGGGGGAUCUUCGGACCUCGCGCUAUUGGAGCGGCCGAUGGCAGAUUAGCUAGUUGGUGGGGUAAAGGCCUACCAAGGCGACGAUCUGUAGCUGGUCUGAGAGGACGACCAGCCACACUGGGACUGAGACACGGCCCAGACUCCUACGGGAGGCAGCAGUGGGGAAUUUUGGACAAUGGGCGAAAGCCUGAUCCAGCAAUGCCGCGUGUGUGAUGAAGGCCUUCGGGUUGUAAAGCACUUUUGGCGGGAACGAAAAGGACUGUGCCAAUACCACGGUUCGAUGACGGUACCCGCAGAAUAAGCACCGGCUAACUACGU